CAGUAAAUACCCCUCCUUGACAUGAUAUAUCUGUUUAAAACCCAAUGAAGUACCUCAUUAAGGAAACAUUUGUUUAAAAGUGAAUAUGUAAAUGUUUAAGUACUUGAAAAAAACUCUCAAGUCAUGUAAUAUUGUUAGUCUGGAAAAUAGCAAAUCACCUCCAUCAAAGCAUUAUAAGGUAGAAAAUAGCCUAGAUCCUUUAAAUUUGGCAAAACUUAAAAAAUUGUCAACCAUCCUAUAUUAUAAACAAAUGUUUAUUGAACAUGUUGAACUUGUCAGGUUCAUAUGCCAAAUAGUUUUUGUUAAUCUUUAUGUUUGUGUGCAAAAUCCUUGCCACAAAUUUUGAAACACUAAAAAUAUACAUGUGCAAAAUGAUAUGGUUUAUUUCAGAAAAAAAUUGUUUAAGAGUUUUAAGCUUCAGCACUAUAAAAAAAACAACAAAAAACCCGCUAAAAUGCAAAAUCAAGCAGUAUUAUCUAAGUGUAUUUAAAAUAAUGAAUUAUAACUUAUAUUGACUUAUUCAUGUUAUUUGAAGUUAUUUGACAUGUUUGAG
rnacentral:lncRNA from 1 species